CCAGACAUGAAGUUAGGUGAGCAAACCCGCUGAAUUUAAGCAUAUAAGUAAGCGGAGGAUAAGAAACUAAAUAGGAUUCCCUCAGUAAUGGCGAAUGAACAGGGAUAAGCUCAGCAUGAGAAUCGGGGCCUGUGGCCUUGAAUUGUAGUCUUGAGUUGUACUACCAAUGGAGGCGCAGAUGUAAGCCUCUUGGAAAAGAGCACCGACGAGGGUGAGAGUCCCGUUUGUCAUCUGCAGUCCCCCAUGCACGGUGUACUUCUAAAGAGUCACGUUCCUCGGGAUUGGAGCGCAAAGUGGGUGGUAAAUUUCAUCUAAAGCUAAAUAUAGGUUCGAGACCGAUAGCAAACAAGUACCAUGAGGGAAAGGUGAAAAGGACUUUGAAAAGAGAGUUAAAAGUGCCUGAAAUUGCUGAAAGGGAAGCGAAUGGAACCAGUGCUUCUUGGCAAGAUUGGUGCGUGCUAUUGUGAUUGCCUGCUGCUUCAGCGCAAGCGUGGUAGUGGGUUUUGAUCAGGACGCGCGUGUUGUUUCUUGCCUUGUGUGUCAACGUCAGUUCUUGAUCGGGGAAAACACCAGGGACAUGGUAGUUUGCCUAUGGGUGAGCGAAUGUGCUUGGUUGAACUCAUUCUUGAACUGAUUCAUGCGUGUCUGGUUGCAGGGGCUUGUGUCCUCAUGACCUUGUGGUGGGUGUAUGCCUGCUGCUCGUGAGUGGGUGACUGGGUCUCCUCCCUGACACAAUGACGAUGACUAAAUGGUUCUAUUCGACCCGUCUUGAAACACGGACCAAGGAGUCUAACAUAUGUGCGAGUUCACGGGCGGGUAAACCUGCUUGCGCAAUGAAAGUGACUGCUGGGAUCUUUGCACCAGCAACCGACCAAUCAAUUGAGAGAGGUUUGAGUAUGAGCAUAUCUGUUAGGACCCGAAAGAUGGUGAACUAUGCGUGGUUAGGGCAAAGUCAGGGGAAACUCUGAUGGAGGCUCGUAGCGAUACUGACGUGCAAAUCGUUCGUCAAAACUGCGUAUAGGGGCGAAAGACUAAUCGAACCAUCUAGUAGCUGGUUCCCUCCG
rnacentral:rRNA from 1 species